rnacentral:rRNA from 1 species
GACGGAGGAUGCAAGCGUUAUCCGGAAUUACUGGGCGUAAAGGGUUUGUAGGUGGCUUGUUAAGUCAGACGUGAAAUCCCUCAGCUUAACUGGGGAACUGCGUCUGAUACUGGCGAGCUUGAGUGCAGGAGAGGAACGCGGAAUUCCAGGUGUAGCGGUGAAAUGCGUAGAUAUCUGGAGGAACACCGGUGGCGAAGGCGGCGUUCUGGACUGCAACUGACACUGAGAAACGAAAGCCAGGGUAGCAAACGGG